rnacentral:ncRNA from 1 species
AUGGAGCAUCCCCGAAAAUCCUAAACAGAGUAGGGA